rnacentral:rRNA from 1 species
UGCCAGCAGCCGCGGUAAUACGUAGGGAGCGAGCGUUAUCCGGAAUUAUUGGGCGUAAAGCGUGCGUAGGCGGUUCGUUAAGUCAAAUCUGAAAGCCCACAGCUUAACUGUGGAGGGUGAUUUGAAACUGGCGAGCUUGAGUACGGCAGAGGUUAGUGGAAUUCAAUGUGUAGCGGUGGAAUACGUAGAUAUAUUGAGGAACACCAGUGGCGAAGGCGGCUAACUGGACCGGAACUGACGCUGAGGCACGAAAGCGUUGGUAGCAAACAGGAUUAGAUA